rnacentral:rRNA from 1 species
CCUACGGGAGACAGCAGUGAGGAAUAUUGGUCAAUGGACGAGAGUCUGAACCAGCCAAGUAGCGUGAAGGAUGACUGCCCUAUGGGUUGUAAACUUCUUUUAUAUGGGAAUAAAAUGUUCCACGUGUGGGCUUUUGUAUGUACCAUAUGAAUAAGGAUCGGCUAACUCCGUGCCAGCAGCCGCGGUAAUACGGAGGAUCCGAGCGUUAUCCGGAUUUAUUGGGUUUAAAGGGAGCGUAGGUGGAUUGUUAAGUCAGUUGUGAAAGUUUGCGGCUCAACCGUAAAAUUGCAGUUGAAACUGGCAGUCUUGAGUACAGUAGAGGUGGGCGGAAUUCGUGGUGUAGCGGUGAAAUGCUUAGAUAUCACGAAGAACUCCGAUUACGAAGGCAGCUCACUGGACUGCAACUGACACUGAGGCUCGAAAGUGUGGGUAUCAAACAGGAUUAGAUACCCGUGUAGUC